UUAUUCUUUCCCCGUCACUGCAAAAUCAGUGGCCGGGUUUGACAGCCCAGAGA
rnacentral:ncRNA from 1 species